rnacentral:rRNA from 1 species
GACGAACGCUGGCGGCGUGCCUAAUACAUGCAAGUAGAACGCUGAAGGAGGAGCUUGCUUCUCUGGAUGAGUUGCGAACGGGUGAGUAACGCGUAGGUAACCUGCCUGGUAGCGGGGGAUAACUAUUGGAAACGAUAGCUAAUACCGCAUAAUAGCAGUUAUUGCAUGAUAACUGUUUGAAAGGUGCAAUUGCACCACUACCAGAUGGACCUGCGUUGUAUUAGCUAGUUGGUGGGGUAACGGCUCACCAAGGCGACGAUACAUAGCCGACCUGAGAGGGGGAUCGGCCACACUUGGACUGAGACACGGCCCAGACUCCCACGGGAGGCAGCAGUAGGGAAUCUUCGGCAAGGGACGGAAGUCUGACCGGGCAACGCCGCGUGAGUGAAGAAGGGUGUCGGAUCGUAAAGCUCUGUUGUAAGGGAAGAACGAGUGUGAGAGUGGAAAGUUCACACUGUGACGGUAUCUUACCAGAAAGGGACGGCUAACUACGUG